GGGCCCGCACAAGCAGUGGAGUAUGUGGUUUAAUUCGAAGCAACGCGAAGAACCUUACCAGGGCUUGACAUCCUACUAACGAAGUAGAGAUACAUCAGGUACCCUUCGGGGGAAGUAGAGACAGGUGGUGCAUGGUUGUCGUCAGCUCGUGUCGUGAGAUGUUGGGUUAAGUCCCGCAACGAGCGCAACCCUUAUCAUUAGUUGCUACGCAAGAGCACUCUAGUGAGACUGCCGUUGACAAAACGGAGGAAGGUGGGGACGACGUCAAAUCAUCAUGCCCCUUAUGUCCUGGGCUACACACGUACUACAAUGGCGGUCAUACAACGGGCAGCGACACAGCGAUGUGAAGCAAAUCCCUUAAAAAGCCCGCCUCAGUUCAGAUCGUAGGCUGCAACUCGCCUACGUGAAGUCGGAAUUGCUAGUAAUCGCGGAUCAGCAUGCCG
rnacentral:rRNA from 1 species